rnacentral:tRNA from 1 species
AUUCAAAUAGUUUAAUAAAAAUUUUGAUUUGUGGUAUCAUAGAUAUAUAAAUAUUUAUAUUUUGAAUU